UACGAAGGGGGCUAGCGUUGCUCGGAAUCACUGGGCGUAAAGCGCACGUAGGCGGCUUUUUAAGUCAGAGGUGAAAUCCUGGGGCUCAACUCCAGAACUGCCUUUGAUACUGAGAAGCUUGAGUCCGGGAGAGGUGAGUGGAACUGCGAGUGUAGAGGUGAAAUUCGUAGAUAUUCGCAAGAACACCAGUGGCGAAGGCGGCUCACUGGCCCGGUACUGACGCUGAGGUGCGAAAGCGUGGGGAGCAAACAGG
rnacentral:rRNA from 1 species